UACGUAGGGUGCAAGCGUUAAUCGGAAUUACUGGGCGUAAAGCGUGCGCAGGCGGUUUUGCAAGACAGAUGUGAAAUCCCCGGGCUUAACCUGGGAACUGCAUUUGUGACUGCAAGGCUAGAGUGUGUCAGAGGGAGGUGGAAUUCCGCGUGUAGCAGUGAAAUGCGUAGAUAUCGGGAGGAACACCAGUGGCGAAGGCGAAUCUCUGGACAAUUCCUGACACUGAUGCUCGAAAGCUAGGGGAGCAAACGGG
rnacentral:rRNA from 1 species